rnacentral:rRNA from 1 species
UUCGCAAUGCCCGAAAGGGUGACGAAGCGACGCCGCGUGCGGGAAGAAGGCCUUCGGGUUGUAAACCGCUGUCGGGAGUUAAGAAAUGUAAGGAUGUUAAUAGCAUCUUUGCUUGACUAAGGCUCCGGAGGAAGCCACGGCUAACUCUGUGCCAGCAGCCGCGGUAAUACAGAGGCGGCAAGCGUUGUUCGGAAUUAUUGGGCGUAAAGAGCACGUAGGCGGCUAUGUAAGUCGGUUGUGAAAGCCUUCCGCUCAACGGGAGAACAGCAUCCGAUACUGCAUGGCUUGAGUGCGGGAGGGGAGAGUGGAACUUCUGGUGGAGCGGUGAAAUGCGUAGAUAUCAGAAGGAACGCCGGCGGCGAAAGCGGCUCUCUGGCCCAUAACUGACGCUGAGUGUGCGAAAGCUAGGGGAGCAAACGGGAUUAGAUACCCCGGUAGUCCUAGCUGUAAACGAUGGGCACUAAGUAGAGGGGUUUU